AUUAACGAUUGAAACCAGAAACCAUGUAUUAAAGGCCACCUUAGGGUUCUUUGCUUUACCAAAUCAUCCAGUAAAUGUCGUCAAUCCUCUUAUUGACAACCUCAUCACUCUCUUGUCUGCGAUUCUUCUUACAAGGGGUAUAAAAAUUUCACAUCAGGAGAUGCUUCUCAAGUUUCGGACAGGCUGCCGAGGAAGUUGCACGCACAACAAGCAAUUUGACUGUAACUUGCGUGGGAACUU